GUGUGUAGGCGGUUGUCUAAGUUUGGUGUGAAAUCUCCCGGCUCAACUGGGAGGGUGCGCCGAAUACUGAAUGACUAGAGUGCGGGAGAGGAUAGUGGAAUUCCUGGUGUAGCGGUGAAAUGCGUAGAUAUCAGGAGGAACACCGGUGGUGUAGACGGCUAUCUGGACCGUAACUGACGCUGAGACACGAAAGCGUGGGUAGCAAACAGGAUUAGAUACCCUGGUAGUCCACGCCCUAAACGAUGCAUAUUUGGUGUGGGCAGUUCAUUCUGUCCGUGCCGGAGCUAACGCGUUAAAUAUGCCGCCUGGGGAGUACAGUCGCAAGGCUGAAACUCAAAGGAAUUGACGGGGGCCCGCACAAGCGGUGGAGCAUGUAGUUCAAUUCGACGCAACGCGAAGAACCUUACCUAGGCUCGAACGGCUUCCCAACGACUGUGGAAACAUGGUUACCCCGCAAGGGGGUGGAGUCGAGGUGCUGCAUGGCUGUCGUCAGCUCGUGUCGUGAGAUGUUGGGUUAAGUCCCGCAACGAGCGCAACCCUUGUCCUGUGUU
rnacentral:rRNA from 1 species